GUGGGGAAUCUUGCGCAAUGGGCGAAAGCCUGACGCAGCCAUGCCGCGUGAAUGAUGAAGGUCUUAGGAUUGUAAAGUUCUUUCGCUCGUGACGAUGAUGACGGUAACGAGAGAAGAAGCCCCGGCUAACUUCGUGCCAGCAGCCGCGGUAAUACGAAGGGGGCUAGCGUUGUUCGGAAUUACUGGGCGUAAAGCGCGCGUAGGCGGUUUUGCAAGCCAGAGGUGAAAUGCCUGAGCUCAACUUAGGAAUUGCCUUUGGGACUGCGAGGCUUUGAGGACGGAAGAGGUGAGUGGAAUUCCCAGUGUAGAGGUGAAAUUCGUAGAUAUUGGGAAGAACACCGGUGGCGAAGGCGGCUCACUGGUCCGUUUCUGACGCUGUAGCGCGAAAGCGUGGGGAUCAAACAGGAUUAGAAACCCGUGUAGUCC
rnacentral:rRNA from 1 species